UACGUAGGGGCUAGCGUUAUCCGGAAUUACUGGGCGUAAAGGGUGCGUAGGCGGCCAGGCAAGUCAGUGGUGAAAAACCUGGGCUUAACCGAGGUAUUGCCGUUGAAACUGUCUGGCUUGAGGAUAGAAGAGGAGUGUGGAAUUCCCGGUGUAGCGGUGAAAUGCGUAGAGAUCGGGAGGAACACCAGUGGCGAAGGCGGCACUCUGGUCUAUACCUGACGCUGAGGCGCGAAAGCCAGGGGAGCAAACAGGAUUAGAUACCCCGGUAGUCCCUGAGCGGG
rnacentral:rRNA from 1 species